AUUUAGUUGAAUUUAGCUAAAGAUUUCACCUUUAUCUAUUAUUUAUAUGUUUGGUUUGGUAUUCUUCUUCUAGAAUCAAGAUUCGUCUAAAAACAGUUAUUUUGUUGUUGGAGGUGAAAGUGGUGGAUGAGGUUUCUUCCAUGUGGGGAUUGAAAGAGCUUAAAGCUUGAUCUGCAAGGUGAAUUUGAAGUGGGGUUUCAUAUUUUUUUGGAGUGCUGGUGGAUUUCGGUCUCUUUGUAUAACCGUGUUUAUACUGUGGAAGGUGAAGGAAGAAAGUUCAUUUUAUCUGUUUUCUAAUGUUUAAUCACCUUGGAGGUGGAAUAUGGAAAACAGAAACAUGGACAAGGAUGAACCUAAUAAAGAAGGUUUAUUGCAGCUUGUGAACAAGGAAGAACAAGCAGAGGAGAAUAGUUGUUUGUCGACAAGAUUAAUAGAAGAGUUAGAACCACAGCACCUACGUAGAUUAGAAAACCCGCAUUUUACUGGAAAUUGCGCUCAGAAAUUGCUCUUUCAUAAUUCUCUUGGCUUACAAAAUAAGCUUCCGAAGCAUAUAAUAAGUUUUGACGAAAGAUACUUCCUUCGCUGCCUUGAAUUGGUACACAUACACUCCACAUGUAACUUCUCUUCAAAGAUGCAAAUUAUAUCAAAGAGUUCAGGUUCAAGAGAGGUUAGAAAUGAAAAUCUCCACACUAAUGGUAAUCUGGCGACCGAAUGUCCUCAAACUGUGGGGAUUGAGUCAAGUUAUGUCCCUGACUCCUCCGCGGAGUGGAUUCUUGGUGCUAUAACUGGUAGUAAGAGUAUGCUGAACAUUUUAAAGAGUCCCUUACUUAAUCAAUUUGGAUCUGUUAACUGUACUGUUGAUUCUGGAAAGGAAAAUAUAAAUGACAGUGAAGAAGGAAGUUUUUCUGAUUUCAUGAGCUCUCCCGGUGGUUUUAGUGUCAGUUCAGCACAGAAGCUACAGAAGGAGAUGACAGAUCAUGGAUCUGAGCAUGUACACAGAAGGGUUCUUUCUGUAUCUAGUACAGCUUCGACAUGCUCAGAUCAAUCAUGUCUUUCAGCAGCUGCCCCUAUUUCUCAAGGAAUGUUCCAGAGGAGAUGGAAAAAUGGUUUACCACAUUAUGUCUUUUCCAUAGAUGGUAAAAAGGAAGUUUAUGUAGCUGAUCUGCUGGAGAUUGACUCACCUGAUGAUAAGUUUCUCGAUUAUGUUUACACAUUUCAUUCAAGACAAGAAAGCAAAAAGGAAUGCGCCUUCUCUGCAAGGGAAUCACAACUUGUAGGUAAAAUGACUGUGUCAACUUCAGUGACACUCAGCCCAACCAAGUUGGAGAUUAUGGAGACGCGAUUUGUUGUGUUUGGUUCCAUGGAUCAAUAUAUGGAUGAGAUACAAACAAGUCAUAUCCUCAGGAAGAACAAAAAGUUGGCAAAGAAAGUAACAGAUGUGUUCAGAACUAGUCAGUCUUAUAAGCAGAGAAGCUUAUCCAAGUUCGGGGGAACAAGCGCCAUUCUUGAAGAUGCUUCGUGGACGCCAUCCAUAGAUAUGUAUGAUGAUUAUUAUUCAUGCGGCAAUGCUCUUUUAGAUCAGCAGAUUCCGCCAAAUUUUGAGCUGGCUGCCGUUGUUACCAGAGAUCCUCUUAAUGACAGCUCCAAGGAGGCAGAGAAGGGUGGCUGGGGUAUGAAGUUUCUCAAGAAAUCUCCGACUGGAAGUAAAAAUGCACCUCCUGAGAUAUCGGUGGAAUGUCGUUCACGUGGCACCAGUGAUUGCUCAACAAGCACAGAUGUUAUAAUUCCAAGUGGUUUUCAUGGUGGACCUAGAAGCAGACAUGCUGGGCCGUCAAGCCUGUUGGAGCGGUGGAGCUCUGGUGGGCACUGUGAUUGUGGAGGCUGGGAUCUCGGGUGCCCCCUCACAGUUCUUAAAACUGGGAAUGAAGCUUCAUCACAAACUACAUCCGGGGACUGUCAAACUUUUGAUCUCUAUAUACAGGGUUUGAAACAAAGUGCACCAGUCAUGAAAAUGUCGAAUAUUCAUGAUGGUUUGUAUUACAUCCAUUUUCAUUCGACUCUAUCAGCUUUGCAGUCUUUCGCCAUAGCUGCUGCUUUCAUUCAUAGACAUAGUCCUUUCCUACGACCGAAACUGUACAGGAAGUGAAGUAAGAUGACACCAAGUAUGGUAUCUGUUGUUAUAGCUCUCUUUCUUUAAAAGAAGUCAGACAAAUCGACCAUUAGAAAUGGUUCAAAGAUAUAACAUAUGAUUGUCUCUCUUAGCUGGUAGAGUAUUAGAUAGGAGAUUCGUUUGUUAGCUCACAUUAUCAUUUUGUUAGUGUAAUGAAUGAUACACUUUAGAAGCAGCGGUCAGUGUACAAAUCGUCUAUUGGAUGGGGGGACAUCCAUUUGUACCGUUGAUUAAGUUAAUGAAAG
rnacentral:misc_RNA from 1 species